rnacentral:rRNA from 1 species
AUUGAACGCUGGGGCAGGCCUAACACAUGCAAGUCGAACGGUAACAGGAAGAAGCUUGCUUCUUUGCUGACGAGUGGCGGACGGGUGAGUAAUGUCUGGGAAACUGCCUGAUGGAGGGGGAUAACUACUGGAAACGGUAGCUAAUACCGCAUAACGUCGCAAGACCAAAGAGGGGGACCUUCGGGCCUCUUGCCAUCGGAUGUGCCCAGAUGGGAUUAGCUAGUAGGUGGGGUAACGGCUCACCUAGGCGACGAUCCCUAGCUGGUCUGAGAGGAUGACCAGCCACACUGGAACUGAGACACGGUCCAGACUCCUACGGGAGGCAGCAGUGGGGAAUAUUGCACAAUGGGCGCAAGCCUGAUGCAGCCAUGCCGCGUGUAUGAAGAAGGCCUUCGGGUUGUAAAGUACUUUCAGCGGGGAGGAAGGGAGUAAAGUUAAUACCUUUGCUCAUUGACGUUACCCGCAGAAGAAGCACCGGCUAACUCCGUG